AAGGUCUUAGCUUAAUUAAAGCGUCUGAGUUGCAUUUAGAAGAUGCAGGUUAAUACCCUGUGGAUCUUA
rnacentral:tRNA from 1 species